rnacentral:rRNA from 1 species
UUCUUGAAAGUUAAAAAAUUGGCGGUAUUUUAGUCUAUUUAGAGGAAUCUGCCCUAUAAUUGAUAGUCCACGAUUUAUAUUACUUAUUUUAAAAGUUUGCAUAUCGUCGUAGAUUGAAUAUUUUUAAAGAAAAUUAAUAUUCAAUAUUUUUUUAUUAAGUAGAAUUCAGAUCAAGAUGUAGCUUAUAAAUAAGAAGAGGUGGGUUACAAUAAAUUUAUUUAUAACGGAUUAGUUUACUAAUUUUUAUUAUGAAGGUGGAUUUAAAAGUAAUUUUAUUUAAAUCAAUAAUGUGAUUUUAGCUCUAAAAUAUGUACAUAUUGCCCGUCGCUUUCAUUAUAAAGUGAAAUAAGUCGUAACAAAGUAGAUUUACUGGAAAGUGAAUCUAGAAAGUACAAAUUAAAGCUUUAUAAAGCAUUUUAUUUACAUUAAAAAGUUUAUUGAAUAUACAAUGUAGUUUGAGUUUAAUAGUUUAUUUAAUUUAGUUAAUUUUUUUUAGUAUUAAUAAAAAUUAAUUUACUUUUUAUUAAGUAUUUUGAACAAAUAAAUUUUAUUAUAGAAAAAUAGUAUUGUGAAAGAAUGUUUGUUUUACUUUAAAAAGAAAAAUUAAUUUUUUGUACCUGGGUAUCAGGGA